GAUGAACGCUGGCGGCGUGCCUAAUACAUGCAAGUCGAGCGAUCAGACGAGGAGCUUGCUUCUCUGACGUUAGCGGCGCACGGGUGUGUAACAUGUGGAUAACCUACCUAUAAGACUGGGAUAAAUUCGGGAAACCGGAGCUAAUUACGGCUAAUCUUUUGAACAGCAUGGUUCAAUAGUGUCAGACGGUUUUGCUGUCACUUAUAGCUGGAUCCGCGCCGCAUUAGCUAGUUGGUAGGGUAACGGCUUACCAAGGCAACGAUGCGUAGCAGACCUGAGAGGAUGAUCAGCCACACUGGAACUGAGACACGGUCCAGACUCCUACGGGAGGCAGCAGUAGGGAAUCUUCCGCAAUGGGCGAAAGCUUGACGGAGCAACGCCGCGUGUGUGAAGAAGGUCUUCGGAUCGUAAAGCACUUUUAGUAGGGAAGAACGAAGGAGUAAGAAAAUAUUCACGUCUUGACGUUACCUGAACAGAAAGCCACGGCUAACUACGUG
rnacentral:rRNA from 1 species